GUUGUCUCCAAGAUCUGUUAUUUCUGCUGGAAAAUACUGUGAUGGUAGAUUUGAUGAACCCCAUCACUAUUUCUUGGAUGCUUGUUCUCUUUGUAAGAAAAGACUUGGUGAUAACAGUGACAUCUUCAUGUACAGAGGGGACACUCCAUUCUGUAGUGAAGAGUGUAGACAACAAGAAAUAGAGAAGGAUGAAGCUAAAGAUAGAAAAAGAAACAUUUCUUCUUUAAAAGCUAUGAGAAAAAAGGAACAAAAACAACAAUCAACAUCUCCAAACAAAACUUCAGCAGAAGAUUACCCUUUGAGACCUGGAACUGUUGCUGCUGCUUGAGCAAAAAAUGAUAAAUGAAUCUACUUGGAUGAAGAAAAAAUAAUAAUUCAAGAAGGUUUAUUUUAGCUAUAAAUAUAUAAAUAUGAAGAAAAAAAUGGUUCAUAUGAGGGGGUAUGAACUUAUGAAGAAGAAAGAAUAUACAGAAUAGUUUUUUUUUUUAAUAAUUAUUAUAUUAAGUUUAUGUUUAUGAUGUGAAAAUUUUGAAAAGUGGAGAUGAGGCUUGUAUAAUGAUGCUCUCUUGAAAAGUGGAAAAAAAUGAAUUUACUUUUUUUUUUUUUUG
rnacentral:misc_RNA from 1 species